rnacentral:tRNA from 1 species
AGCAUUGUGGCUUAGUGGAAAGAGCACUGGCCUGGGAGCCAGGGGACCUGGGUUCUAAUCCCAGUUCUGCCA